AGAGUUUGAUCCUGGCUCAGAAUCAACGCUGGCGGCGUGCCUAACACAUGCAAGUCGAACGCGAAAGUCCCGCAAGGGAUAAGUAGAGUGGCAAACGGGUGAGUAACACGUGGGUGACCUGCCUUCGAGCGGGGGAUAACGUCCCGAAAGGGACGCUAAUACCGCAUAACAUCCUGCCUUUGAAGAGGCGGUGAUCAAAGCUGGGGAUCGCAAGACCUAGCACUCGAAGAGGGGCCCGCGUCCGAUUAGCUAGUUGGUGGGGUAAUGGCCCACCAAGGCUACGAUCGGUAGCCGGCCUGAGAGGGCGGACGGCCACACUGGGACUGAGACACGGCCCAGACUCCUACGGGAGGCAGCAGUGGGGAAUUGUUCGCAAUGGGCGCAAGCCUGACGACGCAACGCCGCGUGGAGGAUGAAAAUCUUCGGGUCG
rnacentral:rRNA from 1 species